rnacentral:rRNA from 1 species
UACGUAGGGUGCGAGCGUUAAUCGGAAUUACUGGGCGUAAAGCGUGCGCAGGCGGCGGCUUAAGUCAGAUGUGAAAUCCCUAGGCUUAACCUGGGAAUUGCAUUUGAAACUAGGUCGCUAGAGUUUGGCAGAGGGGGGUGGAAUUCCACGUGUGGCAGUGAAAUGCGUAGAGAUGUGGAGGAACACCGAUGGCGAAGGCAGCCCCCUGGGCUAAAACUGACGCUCAUGCACGAAAGCGUGGGGAGCAAACAGG